CCUAAGGGCCGUUAUAUGGGCCUCUCCCCCAAUCCGAUUUCAAGAUAAUCGGACUUUCAUUUUAUUUAUGUUAGGAUGAGGUUCUCCUCCUGUUCCUAACAUAAUCUUGUUUUAACUAUUUGAAGGGAUUAUCCCCAGUCGUAACGAAUCCAUGCCAAAUGGGAAAAACAUGCAAAGUCGAAAGGAAUUUAGAUUCAGGGCAAAGUCGUAAGCGAUACAUUUACAGGUUUCCCGAGUUCCAUGGUCGUGGAAGGUCUGCUCCUCCUUGAGGCCCUCCGGUGAUAGAGUCGAUGGUC
rnacentral:lncRNA from 1 species